UUUCUUACCCUGGCCCAGGAGAUACCAUGGUCAUGAAAGUGGUUUUCCCAGGGCAAGGCUUAUCCAUUGCACUCUGGGUGUGCCAACCCCUGAAUGUGGGAAGCCCCUGCAUAAUUUGUGGCAGUGGGGAACUGCUUUUGUGUUCCCUGC
rfam:Felis catus isolate Cinnamon breed Abyssinian chromosome B3, whole genome shotgun sequence.